rnacentral:rRNA from 1 species
GCGGCGUGCCUAAUACAUGCAAGUCGAACGAGUUCUCGUUGAUGAUCGGUGCUUGCACCGAGAUUCAACAUGGAACGAGUGGCGGACGGGUGAGUAACACGUGGGUAACCUGCCCUUAAGUGGGGGAUAACAUUUGGAAACAGAUGCUAAUACCGCAUAGAUCCAAGAACCGCAUGGUUCUUGGCUGAAAGAUGGCGUAAGCUAUCGCUUUUGGAUGGACCCGCGGCGUAUUAGCUAGUUGGUGAGGUAAUGGCUCACCAAGGCGAUGAUACGUAGCCGAACUGAGAGGUUGAUCGGCCACAUUGGGACUGAGACACGGCCCAAACUCCUACGGGAGGCAGCAGUAGGGAAUCUUCCACAAUGGACGCAAGUCUGAUGGAGCAACGCCGCGUGAGUGAAGAAGGCUUUCGGGUCGUAAAACUCUGUUGUUGGAGAAGAAUGGUCGGCAGAGUAACUGUUGUCGGCGUGACGGUAUCCAACCAGAAAGCCACGGCUAACUACGUGCCAGCAGCCGCGGUAAUACGUAGGUGGCAAGCGUUAUCCGGAUUUAUUGGGCGUAAAGCGAGCGCAGGCGGUUUUUUAAGUCUGAUGUGAAAGCCCUCGGCUUAACCGAGGAAGCGCAUCGGAAACUGGGAAACUUGAGUGCAGAAGAGGACAGUGGAACUCCAUGUGUAGCGGUGAAAUGCGUAGAUAUAUGGAAGAACACCAGUGGCGAAGGCGGCUGUCUGGUCUGUAACUGACGCUGAGGCUCGAAAGCAUGGGUAGCGAACAGGAUUAGAUACCCUGGUAGUCCAUGCCGUAAACGAUGAAUGCUAGGUGUUGGAGGGUUUCCGCCCUUCAGUGCCGCAGCUAACGCAUUAAGCAUUCCGCCUGGGGAGUACGACCGCAAGGUUGAAACUCAAAGGAAUUGACGGGGGCCCGCACAAGCGGUGGAGCAUGUGGUUUAAUUCGAAGCAACGCGAAGAACCUUACCAGGUCUUGACAUCUUUUGAUCACCUGAGAGAUCAGGUUUCCCCUUCGGGGGCAAAAUGACAGGUGGUGCAUGGUUGUCGUCAGCUCGUGUCGUGAGAUGUUGGGUUAAGUCCCGCAACGAGCGCAACCCUUAUGACUAGUUGCCAGCAUUUAGUUGGGCACUCUAGUAAGACUGCCGGUGACAAACCGGAGGAAGGUGGGGAUGACGUCAAAUCAUCAUGCCCCUUAUGACCUGGGCUACACACGUGCUACAAUGGAUGGUACAACGAGUUGCGAGACCGCGAGGUCAAGCUAAUCUCUUAAAGCCAUUCUCAGUUCGGACUGUAGGCUGCAACUCGCCUACACGAAGUCGGAAUCGCUAGUAAUCGCGGAUCAGCACGCCGCGGUGAAUACGUUCCCGGGCCUUGUACACACCGCCCGUCACACCAUGAGAGUUUGUAACACCCGAAGCCGGUGGCGUAACCCUUUUAGGGAGCGAGCCGUCUAAGGUGGGACAAAUGAUUAGGGUGAAGUCGUA